UGGUCUCGAACUCCUGACCUUGUGAUCCACCUGCCUCGGCUGCCCAAAGUUCUGGUUACAGGUGUGAGCCACCGCUCUCAGCCUAGGUUGGCUUUUUUUCAUAGCCUUUGCUAUUUUACAAAUAUUUGUUGAAUGAAUAUAAUUCUAUAGUAACUUUUUAGUAUAGACUUAAAUCUUUGACAUGUAAAGAAAAUUAUGAUCUACAUUUUUUGUACAUUGUUCUUUUCUUUAGUAGCAACAUCACUGAUACAUUGGGCCAUAUGUUUAGAUAGCUUCCUCAUGUACAGACAUACAUAAAUAAGUACAUACAUACUAAAGCUCCUCAUCUAGAGCCUUUGAUAAACUUUCUGUAAAGGGACAGAAAGUAACUAUAUUAGGUUUUGUGGGCCAUAGAGACUGCUCAGCCAUGUCACUGUAGUCCAAAGGCAGAUAUAGAUAAUAUGUAAAUAAAUGGGUGUGGCCACAUUCCAGUAACACUUUAUUUACAAAAACAGGUGAUGAACCAGGUUUGGCUCCUGAUCUAGGGGUAAAUAGAACAGAUAAU